UGUUCCUACGGGGGGCAGCAGUGGGGAAUAUUGCACAAUGGGGGAAACCCUGAUGCAGCGACGCCGCGUGAGUGAAGAAGUAAUUCGUUACGUAAAGCUCUAUCAGCAGGGAAGAAAGAAACGACGGUACCUGACCAAGAAGCCCCGGCUAACUACGUGCCAGCAGCCGCGGUAAUACGUAGGGGGCAAGCGUUAUCCGGAAUUACUGGGUGUAAAGGGAGCGUAGACGGUUAAGUAAGUCUGGAGUGAAAGGCCGGGGCCCAACCCCGGGACUGCUCUGGAAACUAUUGAACUUGAGUGCAGGG
rnacentral:rRNA from 1 species